rnacentral:rRNA from 1 species
CACGUAGGAGGCGAGCGUUGUCCGGAAUCAUUGGGCGUAAAGAGCGCGCAGGCGGCUUGGCAAGUCGGGUGUGAAAUCCCGGGGCUCAACCCCGUGACUGCAUUCGAUACUGUCAGGCUAGAGGUAGGUAGGGGAGAUCGGAAUUCCUGGUGUAGCGGUGAAAUGCGCAGAUAUCAGGAGGAACACCGGUGGCGAAGGCGGAUCCCUGGGCCUUACCUGACGCUCAGGCGCGAAAGCGAGGGGAGCGAACAGG